rnacentral:sRNA from 1 species
UGACAUCAAAAUUUCAGGAUUGAAAACGC